CGUGUGGUAUCAUCACAGUUCCCCAUGUGCACUGUGAGUACCUGCCAGUGACUGUAGUACAACUCACGUUCAAACUACGUUGUCUGCAGACUAUUUCCCAAUACAUUGGUAAUAUAACAUAACAUCAUAACGUGUACUUCCAUUAGCCUUA